rnacentral:sRNA from 1 species
AUAACGUGUUGGGAAGCGAUACGCUUCCCGUGUAUGAUUGAACCCGCGGCGCUACCUAAGCGUCUGGGUUCAUUUUUGU